GAUGAACGCUAGCUACAGGCUUAACACAUGCAAGUCGAGGGGCAGCAUGAACUUAGCUUGCUAAGUUUGAUGGCGACCGGCGCACGGGUGAGUAACACGUAUCCAACCUUCCGUUUACUCAGGGAUAGCCUUUCGAAAGAAAAGAUUAAAUACCUGAUAGUAUGGUGAGAUUGCAUGAUAACACCAUUAAAGAUUUAUUGGUAAACGAUGGGGAUGCGUUCCAUUAGGUAGUAGGCGGGGUAACGGCCCACCUAGCCUGCGAUGGAUAGGGGUUCUGAGAGGAAGGUCCCCCACAUUGGAACUGAGACACGGUCCAAAACUCCUACGGGAGGCAGCAGUGAGGAAUAUUGGUCAAUGGGCGAGAGCCUGAACCAGCCAAGUAGCGUGAAGGAUGAAGGUCCUACGGAUUGUAAACUGCUUUUAUAAGGGAAUAAAGUGGGAGUCGUGACUCUUUUUGCAUGUACCUUAUGAAUAAGGAACCGGCUAAAUUCCGUG
rnacentral:rRNA from 1 species